rnacentral:tRNA from 1 species
GCCGUAGCGUAGUGGUAGCGUUCUGUUGUGCCUGAGGAGAGGGCGUGGGUUCGAUCCCCCCUCGGCA